rnacentral:lncRNA from 1 species
AACUCAUUGGCAUAUUACAUUAAACUUUAACACAUGGGUCUGAGUCAGGUGGGGUUUAAUUGGUAAUGUGAGCUCUCUGCCACAGGAUACGUUGGGUUCAGAUCUUCACCCUGUGUUUUCAUUCCGGACGCCUAGGCACCCGGGUAACAGCUACUUAGUGCUUGCUUAUCUCAGAAGAUCCUGAGUGCCACUGUAAAUCACAAAAGUGCAUUCCAAGCCUCUGGCCGUAUCAUCCCGUUAGUCAAAGCAAGUCUUGAGGCCAUGGCCAGAUUCAGGUUCCUUCUUCCUACUAAGAAGUCAUGGCAAAGGUGCAGAUAUAUAAUUCUGUCAAAGGAGAGAGAACUGGGACCAAUAAUCCAGUCUGUCUCAGAGUCAGAAAAUGAAAAUUAAUCCCCCAGAAAAAGAGGUAUGAAAGAAGCAGGGCC